AUGCAAUUUUCCGUGUGUGAAAAUAGAGUGCACUCAGUUCCCCUGCUGCCUCUUCAGCAUAAUUUGUACACUGCUGUGCAGAGUAACAGUUGGUCCCUGUGGGAUUCCAGUGCAUACGCAGCAACGCAUCUCCUCUUGUACAGGCUAAAAAUCAAACCGAUGCUGCAUGGCCAAUGAAGUGGUGAGUACCUGGGAAUACUUCUUGUUGUUACUCAAGAGGAGUAGAAAUGUUUUGAUAAGCAAGGCUUUAUGCUUUUUAAGGCACAGAUGUAAAAUGUAAGAUGGUUCGGAACAUACUCAGAGGUGUUAACCAGAAGCUCAGGCAUUAUCAUCUCUUAAGAAAAUUGGUCGGGGAGUGCUACUUGUUUUCUUGUGCUUUUAAAACAAACAUCUUCUACUUAUCAGAUGGUAAAAUCAUGGUGUUGAGAGUGUGACUGUAGCUUUUGACACAUAUUGGUAGAGAUGGUAAACAUUUUCUUGGUAGCACAAAUGACCAAACCCCAUGCACUGAAUUUCCAGCAGCUUUGACAACAUUAAUAUUUUACCUUAUGCUAAUGGUCAUGUGUGAGCAAGCAGUUGGCAGAAAACAUACUUUUUUUUUUUUUCCUUACUAGUGGGGACAAAAAGACAACAUCCUUCCUCGCCUAAGAUAAAUUAAUUUAUUUGAGCUAGUGGAACAAAAUCAUCCAAUUCUUUCUUUUAGCCUAUUAAGAAUGGGACAAAACAUGAACUUGUGAGGUAUCAUAGAUAUGAAGGAGGAACUCAUUUUCUUCCAUCAAAGAAAUCCACAAAUUAUUUUAAAAUAUUUUUAAAGCUGUGGAAAGGUGGUGACAACAUAAAGUGGGGAAAGUCAGUAGCCUCUCUGAUUGAAAUGGUAAAAACUCAGUGGUGAACAGUGACAAAAGCUCAUCAAUAAUCUGAAGUGCUAAUAUUCUGUGGAAACCAGGUUCUCAAUCAAGGCUUGGGAGCCAGUGCUUGUCUUUAAAAUGAAAUGAUUUUUGUAUAUGAGGUAGAAACU
rnacentral:lncRNA from 1 species